GGGAUUUCAACAUAAUAAUGGCUUGUGUUUUGUGAGUGGAAAAUGAGGUCAUUAGGCUAGAGAUUGUAGUUUAAAAAGGAGCCGGCAAAAGGCAAUUUAUCAACCUCCAACUAGCAAGAGAAGUACGAUAGUAAGAAUGGGGUGCUGAGGAAAUGACAACAAUAAUCGAGCAAACUUGAGGAAAGAAGUUAAACUCAAGUGUGAAGGAUGAAUCAGUGUUAAUGGUAGUCCUGCCUGAGCAAAUAAAUUGCGAAGAUGAUUGGAUUAAUGACUCAGGAGAAGAUGAUUUGAUUGAUGACUCAAAAGAGGAUAUCGUGGUUCAUGAAGAGUCU
rnacentral:lncRNA from 1 species